rnacentral:rRNA from 1 species
GACGAACGCUGGCGGCGUGCUUAACACAUGCAAGUCGAACGGAAAGGCCCUGCUUUUGUUGGGUGCUCGAGUGGCGCACGGGUGUGUAACACGCGUGUAUCCUGCCCUUGUCUUUGUGGUAUCUUCAGGAAACUGGGGCUCUUACCGGAUAGGAGCUCCUGCUGCAUGUUGGUGGUUGGAAAGUUUCGGCGGUUGGGGAUGGACUCGCGGCUUAUCAGCUUGUUGGUGUGGUAGUGGCUUACCAAGGGUUUGACGGGUAGCCGGCCUGAGAGGGUGACCAGCCACAUUGGGACUGAGAUACGGCCCAGACGCCUACGGGAGGCAGCAGUGGGGAAUAUGGCACAAUGGGCGGAAGCCUGAGGCGGCAACGCCGCGUGCGGGAUGACGGCCUUCGGGUUGUAAACCGCUUUCGCCUGUGACGAAGCGGGAGUGACGGUAAUGGGUAAAGAAGCACCGGCUAACUACGUG